GGGUGCUUGGUCUAGUGGUAUGAUUCUUACUUUGGGUGCGAGAGGUUGUGAGUUCAAUUCUUGCAACACCCC
rfam:Ipomoea nil DNA, scaffold: scaffold2283, cultivar: Tokyo-kokei standard.